UCCACCAAUCUCCUGACCAAACUCAGCCUCAGUGGAUAUCCUGACUUCCUCUGCACUAGACUGAGUUUCCUGAGGGAGACUUCAGAUGUUCUGCUCACACAAGUGAACUCUCCUUAAGAACCUCUACACCGCUCCUCUGUCUGCUCU